rnacentral:misc_RNA from 1 species
GAUGAAGAACGUAGCGAAAUGCGAUACGUAAUGUGAAUUGCAGAAUUCAGUGAAUCAUCGAAUCUUUGAACGCAUAUUGCGCUCUCUGGUAUUCCGGAGAGCAUGCUUGUUUGAGUAUCAGUAAACACCUCAACUUCCAUAUCUUUUUUGAAAUGGGAGUUGGACUUGAGUGAUCCCAACGCUUUUCCUCACCGAAAAGUGGCGGGUUACUUGAAAUGCAGGUGCAGCUGGACUUUUCUCUGAGCUAUAAGCAUAUCUAUUUAGUCUGCCUAAAAAACAGAUUAUUACCUUUGCUGCAGCUAACAUAAAGGAGAUUAGUUCUUGUGCUGACUGAUGCAGGAUUCACAAAGACAGGCUUCGGCCGACUUUGUAAACUCGAUCUCAAAUCAAGUAAGACUACCCGCUGAACUUAAGCAUAUCAACGGAGGA